AGAGUUUGAUCAUGGCUCAGAAUCAACGCUGGCGGCGUGCCUCAGACAUGCAAGUCGAACGCGAAAGUCCCCUUCGGGGGACAAGUAGAGUGGCGCACGGGUGAGUAACACGUAGGUAAUCUACCUUCGGAUGGGGAAUAACAAUCGGAAACGGUUGCUAAUACCGCAUAAUGCAGCGGCACCUAAUGGUGACAGUUGUUAAAGCGGGGGAUCGAAAGACCUCGCGUCUGAAGAGGAGCCUGCGGCGGAUUAGCUAGUUGGUAAGGUAACGGCUUACCAAGGCGACGAUCCGUAGCCGGCCUGAGAGGGCGGUCGGCCACACUGACACUGACAUACGGGUCAGACUCCUACGGGAGGCAGCAGUCGGGAAUUUUGGGCAAUGGGCGAAAGCCUGACCCAGCAACGCCGCGUGAAGGAUGAAAUCCCUCGGGAUGUAAACUUCGCAAGAACGGGAAGAAUAAGUAGGGGACAAUACCCCCUAUGAUGACGGUACCGUUUGUAAGCUCCGGCUAACUCCGUGCCAGCAGCCGCGGUAAUACGGGGGGAGCAAGCGUUGUUCGGAUUUACUGGGCGUAAAGGGCGCGUAGGCGGCCAGCACAAGUCAGUUGUGAAAUCUCCGAGCUU
rnacentral:rRNA from 1 species